rnacentral:rRNA from 1 species
CCUACGGGUGGCAGCAGUGAGGAAUAUUGGUCAAUGGGCGCGAGCCUGAACCAGCCAAGUCGCGUGAGGGAAGACGGCCCUACGGGUUGUAAACCUCUUUUGCCGGGGAGCAACGGGCGCCACGUGUGGCGCCACUGAGAGUACCCGGAGACUAAGCCACGGCUAACUCCGUGCCAGCAGCCGCGGUAAUACGUAGGUGGCAAGCGUUGUCCGGAUUUACUGGGUGGAAAGGGCGUGAGGCCGGGAAGACAAGUCAGAUGUUAAAUCCCGCGGUCCAACCGCGGAACUGCAUUUGAAACUGGUUUUCUUGAGUACCGGAGAGGUCAUCGGAAUUCCUUGUGUAGCGGUGAAAUGCGUAGAUAUAAGGAAGAACACCAGUGGCGAAGGCGGAUGACUGGACGGCAACUGACGGUGAGGCGCGAAAGCGUGGGGAGCAAACAGGAUUAGAUACCCCUGUAGUC